rnacentral:lncRNA from 1 species
GUUCCUCAUUUCAUCAGCCACAGUCCUGCUGGCUCAUGCCUGGUUACACACGCAGCCCCCUGGAGGGCAGGGGCUGGGUCUCAUUCCCGAGCCCAGUGCAGCCCUGGCACAAUUCCUUCCCAGAAGCGAUUCUGGUAAUUGGAGUGAGUGGUGGGUGGAACUACCCCACCCAGGCAGGUGUGUUUCUGGAAUCCAUGGCUGAGGUGGUUGUUGACAAGUCCGGGAGGGAGAGAGGGCGAGGAACUGCCUGCUUCCCCCAAACAGGAAUUUUUCCUAAUGGGCUGAGUUCUCAGCUGAUGAGAGAGAUGUUGGACGGACCCUAACAAGAGAAGGCUCUACAUGCAGCACCGAGCUAUACCGGAAGCAUGGUGCCAACAUCUGUUCCUGGUGAGGCCACAGGAAGCUUCCAAUCAUGACUGAAGAUGAAGGGGAGCCAGCGCAUCAUGUGAUGAGAAAGAGAGGGCCUUGGGCUUCUAACUCCCACCGUCUACCGGGACCUGAGCAGCACCAACCACAAGAGGGCAGACAGACAGACCACCCACAGGCUACCUCCGGGCCUCCUCUGGAUGACCAACUCCUUUAUGCCCAGGCCUGUGUCAAGCACUGGGGAGAAAGAGUCUUUGGGAGUAG